GAUCCUCUCAUAGGAUAGUUAAAAGUUCUGUACAUCAGGAGUCUGAAAUGCAUCUCACUGGGCUAAAAUCAAGAUCUGUGGCACAUGGAACCACAUGUGGGACAAGAGACUAAUAAAGAUGUGACCUACUCACAGAGGCUUCAGGUGUUUUGCGAAGUACAUUGGCUUUUAUUCAACGUGCAGUGGGACUCCAACUAAAGUGUUUCAGGAAGUGAGAAAGUUGAUACAUCGACAAUAUUAAUGGCAUUUUUGAAUAACAGAAAUUCUAUAAUCCUAAUGGAACAGCUAUUUUCAUCCUGUGUAUCCUUUUCUUACCCUUAUCCACUUGGACACACACAUUUUUACAUAAUUGCAAUUUGCUGUACAUAUUGUUCUUUUUUUUUUUUUUUUUUUUGCUUUGCAUUUAAAAUGGUAUAACUCUUAACCAUGUUUCUUGUAAGGUAAAACACUCUGAAUGGCUCCAUAACAAUAUAACGUUUAGAGGUUUUAUCUGCAAAAGGCCAAACAAUAGAUUUCACCAUUUUUCUCUUAGUGAAUUAAUGUUGUUUUACAUUUCACAAGUCAUUUCCCUGAGGUGGUGUUUCAGCCUUGGGUGUGUAUUAUUUGGGCUGGUAUAUUAAAACGUUAUGAGUAUAGGCUUUUCUCAGAAUUCAAAUGAGCUUAAAGUUCAGUCUGUAUAGAUGGAUUGUUUCAUUACCUGAAAUAAUAUUGAGAUGGAUUGUUUCAUUACCUGAAAUAAUAAUAUUCAUGUUACAGUAUCUCUAUUGGACAAACUUGGGGAUGGGAUUUGCAUAGGGAUACUCUUCCUUGUUUUUUACUGUAGGAUAAUUCUCACAAUUUGAAAUACUUUUCACCUUAUCUUUUUGUACUUUAUAAGGUAGCAUUUCCUCAUAACUGUGUUUUUGUUCCUGUUGUAUAAAUUAGAUGCUUAUCGUAAUUAAGUGAAUUGUGUUGAAAGUUAGUCUUUAAUUGAAGGGCAAUAAAUCACACAGUUUCUGAAUAUUGCA
rnacentral:lncRNA from 10 species